UUUUACACUAAAAGGCCUUUAUUUCCAUAGAUUGGAGCCUUAUAAAAACCUUUAUUUUUGUUCAGGCCUGCUAGGAGGCCUGAAAAAAAGAAAAACCUUCUGACCUCUCUAGAGGCCAUAUUUUUCAUGAGAUCUUCAUGAAAAUUGGUGAGAAUUCACCUAGAUGAUACCUAGGUCAAGUUCAAAACUGGGUCACAUGCCUUCAAAAACAAGGUCAUUAGGUCAAAUAAUAGAAAAACCUUGUAACCUCUCUAGAGGCCAUAUUUUUCAUUGGUCAGAAUUUUUAUCUUGAUGAUAUCUAGGUCAAGCUUAAAACUGGGUCACAUGAGCUCAAAAACUAGGUCACUAUGUCAAAAAAAUAGAAAAGAUGAUGUCAUACUCAGUUCAAAACUGGGUCAUGUUGGGACAGGUGAGCGAUUCAGGGCCAUCAUGGUCCUUUUGUUACAUUAUGUCAUCUUAAGUGUUGAGCGGAAAUUUGUUAUGAUUUCUUAUACAAAUUUUGCACAUGUAAACUAAACAAUUUUUACAGUAUCUAGCAGCUUCCACGUGCUUUCCGUCUUUUUCACAUUGCGAACAUGGAAAGUCAUAAAACGUUUCAUGUCCGCCCUCUAAUGUUGUAGAAAAAUCUCCGGUAGCCAGAGUGAAUUAUCUGGUGACAUAUGUUUGUUUUUGAGUGUGAACGUUUAAGUAAAACAUAAUUUGCUAUACAUUUUAUUGAUUCUAAUAUAUCCUUUAUUUAAAACAGAAGAUAAGAUAUAGCACCUUUCUUUCUUGGUGGCAACAAAAACAUUGGUAUCCUUGCUCGGUAACACGACUUAAUUUUAGUGCAAGCGCGUUUUAACAGAAACAAGCAUAUUAGAAUAGGUGAUAAUGCCCACAAUAAGUAAUGUAUCUGUCAAAACACUUGUAAUAUUGCCUGUAAGAAGUAAUUAAUAUACUGUUGUAAAAAGUAAUAUGUCAUUUUCUUUACUAGUAAAAAGCCACAGACUUCUUUAAGAAGUACUACUUAAUUAAAAUCCUUGGUAAAUAAGACAUCUAAAACAUUGUGUCAUUUGAAUUUUGCAAUGUUAUGAAGGAAAUAUUUUGGUUUUUUAGCUCACGUGUCACAAAAUGACAAGGUGAGCUUUUGUGAUCAAGCAGUGUCCGUCCAUGCAUAAACUUUUGCUUGUGACCACUGUAGAGGUCACAUUUUUCAUGGGAUCUCUAUGAAAGUUGGUCAGAAUGUUCAUUUUGAUGAUAUCUAGGUCAAGUUUGAAACUCGGUCAGGUGCGGUUCAAAACUAGGUCAGUAGGUCUAAAAAAUAGAAAAAUCUUGUGACCUCUCUAGAAGCCAUACUUCUCAAUGAAUCUUCAUGAAAGUUAGUCAGAAUGUUCACCUUGAUGAUAUCUAUGUCAAGUUUGAAACUGGGUCACAUGCCUUCAAAAAUUAGGUCAGUAUGUCAAAUAAUAAAAUAACCUUGUGACCUCUCUAGAGGCCAUAUUUUUCAUGGGAUCGUAUGAAAGUUGGUCUUAAUGUUCAUCUUGAUGAUAUCUAGGUCAAGUUUGAAACUGAUUCACAUGCCAUCAAAAACUAGGUCACUAUGUCAAAAAAAUAGAAAAAAUACUCAGUUCAAAACUGGGUCAUGUUGGGACAGGUGAGCAAUUCAGGGCCAUCAUGGUCCUUUUGUUACAUUAUGUCAUUUAGUGUUGAGCGGAAAUUUGUUAUGAUUUCUUACACAAAUUUUGCACAUGUAAACGAAAUAAUCUUUACAAUAUCUAGCAGUUUCCACGUGUUUUCCAUUUACUUCACAUUGCGAACAUGGAAAGUCAUAAAACACCUCAUGUCCGCCCUCUAAUGUUGUAGAAAAAUCUCCGGUAGCCAAGUGAAUUAUUUGGUGACAUAUGUUUGUUUUUGAGUGUGUUAGUUUAAGUAAAACAUAAUUUUGCUAUACAUUUUAUUGAUUCUAAUAUACCCUUUAUUUAAAACAGAAGAUAAGAUAUAUCACCUUUCUUUCUUGGUGGCAACAAAAACAUUGGCGUCCUUGCCCGGUAACAGGACUUAAUUUUAGUGCAAGCGUGUUUUAACAGAAACAAGCAUAUUAGAAUAGGUGAUAAUGCCCACAAUAAGUAAUGUAUCUGUCAAACCACUUGUAAUAUUGCCUGUAAGAAGUAAUUAAUAUACUGUUGUAAAAAGUAAUAUGUCAUUUUUAGCUCUUCUGAUUUUUUGAAGAAAAAAAAUGAUGAGUUAUUGUCAUCACUUGAGCGGUUGUCGGCGUCGGCGUUGCCUGGUUAAGUUUUAUGUUUAGGUCAGCUUUUCUCCUAAACUAUCAAAGCUAUUGCUUUGAAACUUGGAAUACUUGUUCACCAUCAUAAGCUGACCCUGUAUAGCAGGAAACAUAACUCCAUCUUGCUUUUUGCAAGAUUUAUGGCCCCUUUUGUACUUAGAAAAUAUCUGUUUCUUGGUUAAGUUUUAUGUUUAGGUCACGUUUUCUCCUAAACUAUCAAAGCUAUUGCUUUGAAACUUGGAAUACUUGUUCACCAUCAUAAGCAGACCCUGUACAUCAAGAAACAUAACUCCAUCUUGCUUUUUGCAAGAAUUAUUGCUCCUUUUAGACUUAGAAAAUCAGUUUUCUUGGUUAAGUUUUAUGUUUAGGUCAGCUUUUAUCCUAAACUAUCAAAGCUAUUGCUUUAAAACUUGCAACACUUGUUCACCAUCAUAAGCUGACCCUGUACAGCAAGAAACAUAACUCCAUCCUGCUUUUUGCAAGAUUUAUGGCCCCUUUUGGACUUAGAAAAUAUCAGAUUUCUUGGUUAAGUUUUAUGUUUAGGUCAACCUUUUCUCUUAAAAUAUCAAAGCUAUUGCUUUAAAACUUGCAACUCUUGUUCACCAUCAUAAGCUGACCCUGUACAGCAAGCAACAUAACUCCAUCCUGCUUUUUGCAAUAAUUAUUGCCCCUUUUGGACUUAGAAAAAUCAUUUUCUUGGUUGAAUAUUAUGUUUAAGUCAACUUUUCUCAUAAACUAUCAAAGCUAUUGCUUUAAAACUUGCAACAGUUUUUCACCAUCAUAAGUGGACACUGCACAUCAAGAAACAUAACUCUAUCCUGCUUUUUGCAAGAAUGAUGGCCCUUUUUAGACUUAGAAAAUCAUGGGUAGGACAAUAUUUCUAUUAUACAAAAAAAAUCAGAUGAGCGUCAGCACCCGCAAGGCGGUGCUCUUGUCUUUACUAGUAAAGAGCCGCAGACCUCUUUAAGAAGUACUACUUAAUUAAAAUCCUAUGUAAAUCUUAUGUAGAUAAGACAUCUAAAACAUUGCGUCAUUUGAAUUUUGCAAUGUUAUGAUGAAAUAUUUUGGUGUUUACAUUAUGUUAUCUUAAGAUUUUAUGUGUAAAUCUGAACCAGCUUAGAUGAGGUGUCUUACAAUUUCUUAAGCAUUGUAUCUAGAUUUCUCACAUUAUAGAAUACAUUAUAUGACAACUCUGUGUUUCUACCAGUUAAAUGUAUGUCUCAGUUAAUUGUAAUUCUAAUUCAGAUAUACACAAACUUUGCACUAGGAAAAUCAAAAUAAAACUGCAAGGUAAAAUUGCAAGGUGCAAGGUAACUAGUUUUUUUGUAGAGAAUAUUGAAAGAUGUUACUUUUUAGCUCCACUAUUCGUAGAAUGGGGGGGCUAUACUACUCGCCCCAGCGUCAGCGUGACCCUUCUUUGUUAAAGUUUUUUGGCAACCUUUGUUUUUAGCCCACCAUCAUCAGAUGGUGGGCUAUUAAAAUCACUCUGCGUCCGUGGUCCGUCCGUCAUUCCGUCCGUCCGUCCGUUAACAAUUUCUCGUUAUCGCAUCUCCUCAGAAACUACUGGGGGGAUUUUGACCAAACUUUGUCAGAAUGAUGUAUUGGUACCCUAGUUGUGUCCCCCUGAAAAUCAGACUGGUUCAACAAUUUAUGAGUGAGUUAUGGCCCUUUGUUUAUUUUUAUAAUUUAUAUAGAUUUAUAUAGGGAAAAACUUUGAAAACCUUCUUGUCCAAAACCACAGAGCCUAGGGCUUUGAUAUUUGGUAUGAAGCAUCAUCUAGUGGUCCUCUACCAAGAUGAUUCAAAUUAUUUCUCUGGGGUCAAAUAUGGCCCCGCCCUGGGGGUCACAUGGUUUAUAUAGACUUAUAUAGGGAAAAACUUUGAAUAACCUCUUGUCCAAAACCACAGGGCCUAGGGCUUUGAUAUUUUGUAUGUGACAUCAUCUGGUGGUCUUCAACUAAGAUUGUUCAAAUUAUACCCCUAGGGUCAAAUAUGGCCCCGCCCUGGGGGUCAUAUGGUUUACAUAGACUUAUAUAGGGAAAAACUUUGAAAAUCUUCUUGUCCAAACCACAAAGCCUAGGGCUUUGAUACUUGUAAUGUAGCAUCAUCUAGUGGUUCUCUACCAAGUUUGUUCAAAUUAUCCUCCUAGGGUUAAAUAUGGCCCCGCCCCGGGGGUCACAUGGUUCAUAUAGACUUAUAUAGGGAAAAGCUUUUAAAAUGUUCUUGUCAGUAACUACAACAUUCAAACUUGGACCACAUGUAUAUUUUUAGUGGCAAGAUGAACCUUGACAUGAGUUGACCUUGAUUUUGACCUAGUGACCCACUUUCACAUUUCUGUAGCUACAGCCUUCAAAUUUGGACUACAUGCAUAAUUUUAUGCACUGGAAAAAACUUUGACCUUUAUUUUGACCUAGUGACCUACUUUCACAUUUUUGAAGGUACAGGCAUCAAAUUUGGACCAUAUGCAUAGUUUCGUGUUUCAAAAUGAAAUUUGACAUUGAUUUUGACCUAGUGACCUACUUUCACAUUUCUCAAGCUACAGCCUUCAAAUUUGGACUACAUGCAUAGUUUUGUGUACCGAAAAAAACUUUGACCUUGACAUUGACCUAGUGACCUACUUUCACAUUUUUGAAGGUACAGGCUUCAAAUUUGGACCACUUGCAUAGUUUUGUAUUCUGAAAUAAAAUUUGACCUUGAUUUUGACCUAGUGACCUACUUUUACAUUUCUCAAGCUACAGCCUUCAAAUUUGGACCACUUGCAUAGUUUUGUGUACUGAAAUGACCUUUGACCUUUACAUUGACCUAGUGACCUACAUUCACAUUUUUAAGGUACAGCCUUCAAAUUUGGACUACCUGCAUAGUUUUGUGUACUGAAACAAACUUUGACCUUUACAUUGACCUAGUGACCUACUUUCACAUUUUUGAAGGUACAGGCUUCAAAUUUUGACCGCAUGCAUAGUUUUGUAUUCCGAAGUAAAAUUUGACCUGGAUUUUGACCUAGUGACCUACUUUUACAUUUCUCAAACUCAACCUUCAAAUUUGGAACACUUGCAUAGUUUUAUGUACCGAAAGGAACUUUGACCUUAAGAUUGACCUAGUGACCUUUUUUCACAUUUCUGUAGCUACAGGCUUCAAAUUUAGGACCACAUGCAUAGUUUUGUAUACCGAAACAAACUUUGACCUUGACAUUGACCUAGUGACCUACUUUCACAUUUUUGAAGGUACAGACUUCAAAUUUGGACCCCUGCAUAGAUUUGUGUUGUGUAUGGAAAUGAAAUUUGACCUUGAGCUAGUCAAUAAGUCUUGAAAUUUGGAACACUCAAAAAUGGCACAUUGGUGGGCGCCAAGAUCACUCUGUGAUCUCUUGUUCUGUCAUAUCUUUGUUACUAUUGCUUAUAUCUUACUGUAACUUCACAUAAACAUUGUCCAGUAUACAAACAAUAUAUGUGUAGGGCCUGAGCCCAUUAUACCCAAGGUCAAGGUCACCAAGGUCUUAUACUUAGGUUGUUUUUAAGGUUAAAGUUUUUCGGCAACCUUUGUUUUUUCUGUCGUAUCUUUGUUGCUGUUGCUUAUAUCUUACUGUAACUUCACAUAAACAUUGUCCAGUAUACAGACAAUAUAUGUGUAGGGGCUGAGCCCAUUAUACCCAAGGUCAAGGUCACCAAGGUCUUAUACUUAGGAUAUUUUUAAGGUUAAAGUUUUUCGGCAACCUUUGUUUUUAUUUCGUAUCUUUGUUACUAUUGCUUAUAUCUUACUGUAACUUUAUGUAAACAUUGUCCAGCAUACAAACAAAGAAUUUUCAGAGACUGGGCCCAUUAUACCCAAGGUUAAGGUCACCAUGGUCUUAUACUUAGGUUAUUUUUAAGGUUAAAGUUUUUCGGCAACCAUUGUUUUUCUGUCAUAUCUUUGUUACUUUUGCUUAUAUCAUACUGUAAGUUCACAUACACAUUGUCCAGCAUACAAACAAAGUAUGUGCAUGGGCUGGGCCCAUUAUACCCAAGGUCAAGGUUACCAAGAAGUUAUACUUUGAAUUAUUUUCUUGUAAAAUUUUUACAAGAGCUUCGUUUAUAGACAUAUCUUUGGUACUUUAAAAGUAAUGACUUGAAAUGAAAAAUAUUUGUUUAUAAUCAUCUGCAUGUGUGGCUACAUAACCCAUAACUCUAAUUGUGUUUUUGACAGAAUUAUGCCCCUUUUGUACUUAAAACUUUUUUGCAGUCUUUGCUUUCUGGAUAUAACUUUAAUGCAAUAUAAGAUAAAGACUUGAAACUUAAAAUGUAUCUUUAUCAUCAUCAUCUGCAUGUUUGGUAACAAUCCCCUUAACUCUGAUUUGUAUUUUUGACCGAAUUAUGCCCCUUUUAAACUUGAAUUUUUUUGGACAUAACUUUGGUACUAUAUAAGAUAAUGACUUGAAACUCAAAAUAUGUCUUUAUCAUUAUCAUCUGCAUGUGUUGUAACAAUCCUAUAAAUUCAGAUUUGUGUACUUGAUGGAAUUAUUCCCCUUGGUGUGUCUUCAUUUUGAUGUAGGUCUCUUAUUCAGACAUAUAUUCAGUCAAAUCCCCGAAUAGUGGAGCACGCUACAGACAGCUCUUGUUUCUAUUUCUUAUUUUUUUUAAACUUUGCCUCAUGUGCUAUCUACAUUUUCUUAAUAUUUAUGUCACAGGGUGUAAUAAUACACUACUCUGGCGUAGGUUCGAUGUUCAUUUAUUUGUACUCCAUAAUUAAUUGGCCUAAAACAUAUAUAUAUAAACAUAUAAACAUAUAUUAGACAAACGUAAAAGACAGCUAAAACAACAUAAUAUUGCACAUAGAUAUUCAAUCAACACGGAUCAAAUAUAAAAUACAGUACAUAAAUAAUAUAUCAAUACAUUAGGUAAAUUUUUACCACAGCGUCUGUAUAAAUUAUUUCAAUGGAAAUUGAAAUAAAGGAAAUGCAGCUGUAGUUUUUCUCUUCUUAGAUAAUAUGUCUUACUCGUACGAGUGGACUAGAGGAAGUGCGGGAUUGGAAAGGAGAUGUGUGCGCAGAAAAGACUGUUAAUCAAGAAGAAUAUAUUUCUUUCUCUCAUUCUUACUCCCAUACAAAAACAUGAAACGUACAAAAUGAUUAGACAUGUACAAUACAAUAGACUGACUGACAAGUGUUCACCAACUACACUGCUUCAGUGCACUUUUGCAAUUUCCGCCACUGGCAUAUAUUGACGAGUAUCACCUAUUCAAUACCAGAAGAUAAACACUAACGAAUAAAACCAACCAAAUCCGAUUAUGAUGCAUGUGCGAAGGUUAAGUGUUAAAAUUAUGGAACGCCACAUCGGACAUUACAAUUAAACUAUACUAAAUGUUUGACCAGUGACAUUUGCUUUCUUCAUACCUGUUUACAUUGAAUAUUAAAAUCUUUUAGUAACUGUA